UACGUAGGGGGCAACCGUUGCUCGGAAUUAUUGGGCGUAAAGCGCACGUAGGCGGUCUACUAAGUCGGACGUGAAAGCCCUCGGCUCAACCGAGGAAGUGCAUCCGAAACUGGCAGGCUAGAGUACGAAAGAGGGUCGCGGAAUUCCCGGUGUAGAGGUGAAAUUCGUAGAUAUCGGGAGGAACACCGGUGGCGAAGGCGGCGAUCUGGGUCGAUACUGACGCUGAGGUGCGAAAGCGUGGGGAGCAAACAGG
rnacentral:rRNA from 1 species